ensembl:snoRNA U3 Small nucleolar RNA U3
AAGACUGUACUUUCAAGGAUCAUUUCUAUAGUUCGUUACUAGAGAACACCAGAUGCCAGCUCCUCAAUCUUUGACUUCCCAGCCUCCAGUCCCAUGAGCCAAUACAUUUCUGUAUGUUAUAAAUUACCUAGUCUAUGGUAUUCUGUCUUAGCAGCACAAAAUGGACUGAGACAAGGUAAUCUGAAAAGG